rnacentral:rRNA from 1 species
CACGUAGGGCGCAAGCGUUUGUCCGGAAUUAUUGGGCGUAAAGAGCUCGUAGGCGGUCUGUCGCGUCUGCUGUGAAAUCCCGAGGCUCAACCUCGGGCCUGCAGUGGGUACGGGCAGACUAGAGUGCGGUAGGGGAGAUUGGAAUUCCUGGUGUAGCGGUGGAAUGCGCAGAUAUCAGGAGGAACACCAAUGGCGAAAGCAGCUUUCUGGGACGGUACUGACGGCUGGAGACGCGAAAGCGUGGGGAGCGAACAGG